GAAAAAAAAAAAAAAAAACAUCCAUUGACAUUCAUUGAUGCUUGCUGAACAUUUAUGGAGAACAAACAGUGGAUGUUAACACACUGAGGUGGUGAGUGGUGUGUUUCAGCAGUGGCAACAGUGAUGUGAAUGACAAGUCAUGUGCUGGAAAGCCAUGCAGAUGUUGACAAGCCCAGCAGGCCUGGGAGAGCAGUCCCUCACUCAAAAGCAGAAAGUCAUACUGUAUUUGUUCUUGCUGUGCUGAAUAUGCAGGCUGCUGGUGGAACUGAGAAGAAGGGGUAGAAAACCGACUAUUGUGGUCGGGUACAAAUACUUGCCCACACUGGCGAAUAUUACCCAGCCUUUCCUCAAAAGCACCUAAGACUGGUUGUUGAUUGCAUUGUUUCAUACCUGUUCUGAAAGCCAAGAAACUGCUAAGACAAGUCCAUACUGCAUUUGCCACUGAAAAAAAAAAUCACAGUGAAGAAAGAACCCAGAGGAAGAUUUGCUUGCUAAACUUAUCUCAUCAUAACCCUUGAGCUGCACUUGACUUGUUAGAGUAACGAGGCAGAACUUACUAGACCUACUUCACAUCUUAUAUUGACUAGCUUCAAUUGUUGUUAUCUUUUAAAGCCUUCAUGGUGAAUGCCGUUUUUUAAAAAUAUUAUUAUUUGUAGGAUAUUGCAACAGAUCUGUGAACUGAAAUAAUAAACUGUGAAUCACUUAUAUUUUCCUAGAAUAUGG
ensembl:lncRNA